CUACGGGUGGCAGCAGUGAGGAAUAUUGGGCAAUGGGCGCAAGCCUGACCCAGCCAUGCCGCGUGAAGGAUGAAUGCCCUACGGGUUGUAAACUUCUUUUGUACGGGACGAAACUUCCGAUCGUGAUCGGAACUGACUGUACCGUUCGAAUAAGCAUCGGCUAACUCCGUGCCAGCAGCCGCGGUAAUACGGAGGAUGCAAGCGUUAUCCGGAUUCAUUGGGUUUAAAGGGUGCGUAGGCGGAAUAGUAAGUCAGUGGUGAAAGCCUGCGGCUUAACCGUAGAAUUGCCAUUGAUACUGUUAUUCUUGAGUAUAGUUGAGGUGGGCGGAACGUGUAAUGUAGCGGUGAAAUGCUUAGAUAUUACACAGAACACCAAUUGCGAAGGCAGCUCACUAAACUAUCACUGACGCUGAGUCACGAAAGCGUGGGGAGCAAACAGGAUUAGAUACCCCUGUAGUC
rnacentral:rRNA from 1 species